UUGUGCAAGACUCCGUUUUCAUCUUUACUUGCGAAUCUUCUCUCUUUAUCUGCUGGAGUGAGAUGGAGAACUUUGUGCAUCUCAUCUUCUUGGUCUCCUUGUCAGAAGCAUACGCGACUGAGGAUGUUCCAACGGUGUAUGGUGUCGAAGGAGAGCCCAUCACCAUCAAUUGCACUUACAACCCCCAGGAGCACCAGUGGAGAGAGAAGAGUUGGUGCAAGCACAUCAGUGAGAUGUCAUGCCAGCAUGUUGUCAGCGCCCGGCGUUUUUGGAUGCCGUUCCUCAAAAAAAGGAAUGGCACCACUGCCAUUGCCGACAACAUCGAGAAGGGAAUUCUCACAGUGACCAUUGACCCAUUCCAGAAAGAGGAUGCUGGUUUGUAUGAGUGCAAGGCGGAAUUCUUGGGGACUACAAACAUCCUGCAGAAAGUGAAGGUGGAAGUUCUGGCAGGUCUAUGGGAGACUGAGGCACCUGAGGAGCCCAGAGCAGUGCACAGCAUCUCCAGCACCCUGUCAGAUGCUGAAGUCAAUCUUCACUUCCUUGUGGCUGGAUUCUUGGGUUUCAAGCUCCUGGUUGCUGUAGUCAUCUGAUCGCUGCCAAGAGCAGUGCAGCAGACAGAAAAAGGAUGAGAGCCAUGGAGAAAAUGAGCACGAGCUCUUCCCAAUCACAGGCUAAAAGGGAAAGUUUGGCAUAAAUGGGAUGUGAUGGAAAGACGAAUGAGUAAUAAUUCAAAGAUAGGUGCAUAGAAAUGGCUCCAACAGACAAGAUGUGAAGGACAUGCUUGCUUUCUCCUGUGGCUUGUGCCCCAUGACCAAUGCAAGGACUGUGGUGGUUCCAUUUAUAAAGCCAGAUGUUGCCAGCAAGUCAAACUAAACAGCUUUGCUGUAGACAAUAGAAGCACUUUUAAUAUUAGAAGCACUUUUAAUAUUAUCUUGAAAACAGUCUGUACAGUGUAAGA